rnacentral:miRNA from 1 species
UGUUCGUCCGUACACUGUUCA